rnacentral:lncRNA from 1 species
GUUGGUGAUGGACAGGGAGGCCUGGUGUGCUGCAAUUCAUGGCGUCGCAAGGAGUCGUACAUGACUGAGCAACUGAACUGAACUGAACUGAACUGAACUAUAUCUGAAUACCUGCCUGUGGAGGGACAAAUGUAAGUCUGGAAAGAGUGUUUGCACUUUAUCAUCUUUGGAAAAGCAAGCAUUAGAAGAAUGGGAAUCUGCAGUAAUACAUUAUUUAUGUUAAGCUACCAACAGAUCCUUAGUUUCUCCUGGUUGUUUUAGAGUUGAAAAAACAUACUUUGCGUGUGUGACAUUUGUUACAAGAUAAUGCCAAGUAACUGUUAGAAAAAUUUACAUUUAGGUAUAAAAAUUUAAACGUAUGCCCCUUUUUUACAAGCUCUGUAUGCUCUAAAUGUGUGACGGGAUACUGGGUGCCACCGAUCUGCAGUGAAUCCUUAAACCCUUUGAAGUAGGUUCAGUUCAUUCAUGAAGAGCAGCAGGGGUUAAGAGCAAAUUAGUGAUGUGUUGUUCCCAUGUUCUCUCUCCAAAGGACUUGGUGAAUUUCAUCGAAGCAAAUUUUAAGAAACGGGAGUGCGUCUUCUUUACCAAAGAUUCCAAGGCCACGGAGAAUGUGUGCAAGUGUG